rnacentral:rRNA from 1 species
UACGGAGGGUGCGAGCGUUGUCCGGAAUCACUGGGCGUAAAGGGCGCGUAGGCGGUCCCAUAAGUCCCGCGUGAAAUCCCCCGGCUCAACCGGGGAACUGCGCGGGAAACUGCCGGACUAGAGUUCGGAAGAGGCGAGUGGAAUUCCCGGUGUAGCGGUGAAAUGCGCAGAUAUCGGGAGGAACACCUAUGGCGAAGGCAGCUCGCUGGGACGUUACUGACGCUGAGACGCGAAAGCGUGGGGAGCAAACAGG